GAUUUUCUUUACUUAGCCCUUCCCCCUCACGCAAUAUAGAUGCCCCAGACUUUGUCAUUUUCCACAUGCGGCCCACUGGUACGGGACGCAUGCGUUCCACUUGACAUCACGUGACGCGGAAGUAUUUUAGCCGCUUGUCACGUGAUUCGUUUUUACUUUUUUAUAUUAUAUGUUCUAAGCUUCGUUUUUCAAUCAAAGUGGCUGUAACUACUUACUAUUAUAUGUCUCUAUAUUCUGCAAUAUUGCAAGGUCUAUUUUAU